rnacentral:rRNA from 1 species
CUGAAACCGUGUACGUACAAGCAGUGGGAGCACGCUUAGGCGUGUGACUGCGUACCUUUUGUAUAAUGGGUCAGCGACUUAUAUUCUGUAGCAAGGUUAACCGAAUAGGGGAGCCGAAGGGAAACCGAGUCUUAACUGGGCGUUAAGUUGCAGGGUAUAGACCCGAAACCCGGUGAUCUAGCCAUGGGCAGGUUGAAGGUUGGGUAACACUAACUGGAGGACCGAACCGACUAAUGUUGAAAAAUUAGCGGAUGACUUGUGGCUGGGGGUGAAAGGCCAAUCAAACCGGGAGAUAGCUGGUUCUCCCCGAAAGCUAUUUAGGUAGCGCCUCGUGAAUUCAUCUCCGGGGGUAGAGCACUGUUUCGGCAAGGGGGUCAUCCCGACUUACCAACCCGAUGCAAACUG